CAGGUCACUCCUACGGGAGGCAGCAGUGGGGAAUCUUGCACAAUGGGGGAAACCCUGAUGCAGCGACGCCGCGUGAGCGAUGAAGCCCUUCGGGGUGUAAAGCUCUUUCGGCAGGGAAGAUGAUGACGGUACCUGCAGAAGCAGCUGCGGCUAACUACGUGCCAGCAGCCGCGGUAAUACGUAGGCAGCAAGCGUUGUUCGGAGUUACUGGGCGUAAAGGGUGUGUAGGCGGUUGUUUAAGUUUGGUGUGAAAUCUCCCGGCUCAACUGGGAGGGUGCGCCGAAUACUGAAUGACUUGGAGUGCGGGAGAGGAAAGUGGAAUUCCUGGUGUAGCGGUGAAAUGCGUAGAUAUCAGGAGGAACACCGGUGGUGUAGACGGCUUUCUGGACCGUAACUGACGCUGAGACACGAAAGCGUGGGUAGCAAACAGGAUUAGAUACCCUGGUAGUCCACGCCGUAAACGAUGAAUGCCAGCCGUUAGUGGGUUUACUCACUAGUGGCGCAGCUAACGCUUUAAGCAUUCCGCCUGGGGAGUACGGUCGCAAGAUUAAAACUCAAAGGAAUUGACG
rnacentral:rRNA from 1 species